GACGAACGCUGGCGGCGUGCUUAACACAUGCAAGUCGAACGAAGUGGCGAACGGGUGAGUAACGCGUAAUCAACCUGCCCUUCAGAGGGGGACAACAGUUGGAAACGACUGCUCCUACCGCAUACUGUAGGUGGGGGUUGCGUCUGAUUAGGUAGUUGGAGGGGUAACGGGCCCCGAAGGCGAUGAUCAGUAGCCGGUCUGAGGGGGUGAACGGCCACAUUGGGACUGAGACACGGCCCAGACUCCUACGGGAGGCAGCAGUGGGGAAUCUUCCGCAAUGGACGAAAGUCUGACGGAGCAACGCCGCGGGAGUGAUGACGGCCUUCGGGUUGUAAAGCUCUGUUAAUCGGUACGCGGUACCGGAAUAGAAAGCCACGGCUAACUACGUGCCAACCGCCGCGGUAAUUC
rnacentral:rRNA from 1 species